rnacentral:rRNA from 1 species
CAAUAGCGUAUAUUAAAGUUGUUGCGGUUAAAAAGCUCGUAGUUGGAUUUCUGCCGAGGACGACCGGUCCGCCCUCCGGGUGAGUAUCUGGCUCGGCCUGGGCAUCUUCUUGGAGAACGUAGCUGCACUUGGCUGUGUGGUGCGGUAUUCAGGACUUUUACUUUGAGGAAAUUAGAGUGUUUCAAGCAGGCACACGCCUUGAAUACAUUAGCAUGGAAUAAUAAGAUAGGACCUCGGUUCUAUUUUGUUGGUUUCUAGAUCUGAGGUAAUGAUUAAUAGGGAUAGUUGGGGGCAUUCGUAUUUAACUGUCAGAGGUGAAAUUCUUGGAUUUGUUAAAGACGGACUACUGCGUAAGCAUUUGCCAAGGAUGUUUUCAUUGA